GUUUCUUCCCCUCCCCCGUUUCCUGUCUAUUGUUCUCCAGCAGGGCGUUGUCCCAGGCACACUGCCAAACCAGUUGGAACUGACUGCUUUUGUCCCUCCUUGGUUUCUCAACGGCCCUUGCUAUGCUUUACCCCAUGGAAAAUCUACUCUGUUCAUGGGAUCUGAGCGCUGUUCACCUAGAUUGGGCGCUCAGAUCCGAGCUAUCUGUGGAUAGGUUAAAUGUGGGGGUUCUGUGUAAUAAAAUAAGAAUUAUGUAUUUUUAUGUACUUUUACGUAUUUUGCUGUUAGUGUUAAAUGUAGAUAUUUUCUGUACCUGGAGAUAAUUGAGUUUACUGCAGUGCCUUAAGCCAAUUAUCUCCAGGAUGGAGAGGAGGGAUUUCAUUGUGUAUGUGAG